ensembl:lncRNA
AUGAUAAGCAGGAAUAUGGAAACAGCACAAGAACUCCCCCGAGUCGCCCAAGUUCAACUUCAUCAGAAGUACUGGGUAACAGAAGACAGUAAAGUCAAAUUGCUGACUGUUGGUGCCAAAUGCUUGGAUAUAGUCACUGAGAGGGAGCAUUAUUACGACACGGAUUUAGAUGAAUUAGCAACAGCUCAGCUGUGGCUGAGUAAAAGAAAUCAACAGUGGAGUCUUAUACUAGAAUCUCAGAAGCAACCAGCUGAAGAAAAUCCUGCCAGUUCCGCUCCUGAAAUACGGGAACCUCUGUAUGAGAGCAGAACAGAAAAUACCGCCAUCUACAGAAGCUCACAAGAAAGGAAAGCCCCAGAAAUGUUAUGUGUUAAUGACCAAAAUAAUCAGCAGCAGGAUUUGAAUGAAGAAGACACAGCAAAUGCAUCUGCAAUAUCUAGUUCCACAUAUGCUGAGCUGGUAGAAGAGAGAGAGAUAAUCACUUAUCUGGCAGAUUUUUUACACAUAGAUUUAAAAACCAAGAAAGGAAGUGUGACCAUGGAAGACUUUCUGCAGAAGGCUGGCAUCCAACAUUAUGCAAGCAACCAUACUGUUCAUCGGGCAAAAUAUAAGCUGGCCAACCGGUAUACAAUUAUCAUUCAAAGGGACGAAAUCUCUUUGGAGGAGACUGCGACCAUACUGUUAGAUGUGGAUAUUUCAAAUAUAUGCAAAGGUUUUGAAGAAAUUGAAAAGUUAGCAAAUUACCUGGGAUUUGUUCAAAAUGUACAAGGACUCACCGUGGAGCACAUCAAAAACAGACAAUAUGACCGCACACCUGUUCAGUUUUCAUAGAGCUUUGGGAGGGAAUAUCUAAAGAUACAACUGCAAGAGCACUUCAUUAAACCCAAUACCUUUACAGAUCCUUACAUGGCUUGAAAAAUGCAGAUUUAUGGCAACAGUAGCAGUACAGCUAGCAUCAGCGGUGAUCUAUGAAUAGCAUAGUGAACAGCUGCCAGGGAGAGAGACAAUGUUGAAGACAGCCCCUCUAAAAUGAACCGCUUUAGAUGUCUUCUUCCUUUCAAAAGUACACAGGUGGCUACAUGUUCAUUCAAUUAUAUAAAUCCUUCAACCAAACAACCUUAAUCUUCUCAUUCAACAGUGGAGAAAAUCAUGCUGCCUACAGAAUGCAUCUGCCUGUGGCAAUCUGAGUAGCCAUAAGUAAACAGCUUAAAACUCAGUUUCUUAUAAUUCAAUAUAAACAUUUUACAUACAUUCAGUAUGAUAAUUAUUAAAAUUCAAGGGAGAGAGUGUAUUGGAGUUAAUGUUUUUUGCCUAGCUGUUUGGAGAUCAAGGCAAGGGGGCAAAUUUCCUCUUCCUUCUGCAUAUGUUUCUAUUUCUCAAAAUUCAUCCCUCCUGAUUCUGAAGUGCAACUUUUAUAGUCAUGUCAACAUUUCCCCUCUUAUUCCUGAACUGAAAAGAGGUGCAAAGAGAAAUCAAGUCAGUCUAUUUUGGUUGUCACUUAACCUAGGAAACAAAUAUACAUAUCUUCAAUACAAAGAGUUGUGUGGGUUACUCUGUCACUGCAGUACAGAAAGAGGAUUUUUUUUUUCUUUAAUGGGAAGAGGAAACAUUUCUGAAUUACUUGAUCAAUAAAAGUGGGUAUCAAUUAUGCUUGGCUAUGAUU